rnacentral:rRNA from 1 species
UACGUAGGGUGCGAGCGUUAAUCGGAAUUACUGGGCGUAAAGCGUGCGCAGGCGGUUUUGCAAGCCGGAUGUGAAAUCCCCGGGCUUAACCUGGGAAUGGCAUUUGGGACUGCAAGGCUGGAGUGCGGCAGAGGAGACUGGAAUUCCUGGUGUAGCAGUGAAAUGCGUAGAUAUCAGGAGGAACACCGAUGGCGAAGUCAGGUCUCUGGGCUGACACUGACGCUCAUGCACGAAAGCGUGGGGAGCAAACAGG